rnacentral:rRNA from 1 species
UACGUAGGGUGCAAGCGUUGUCCGGAAUUAUUGGGCGUAAAGAGCUCGUAGGCGGUCUGUCGCGUCGGAUGUGAAAACCCAGGGCUCAACCCUGGGCCUGCAUUCGAUACGGGCAGACUAGAGUUCGGCAGGGGAGACUGGAAUUCCUGGUGUAGCGGUGAAAUGCGCAGAUAUCAGGAGGAACACCGGUGGCGAAGGCGGGUCUCUGGGCCGAUACUGACGCUGAGGAGCGAAAGCGUGGGGAGCGAACAGG